GCAGUCGCCGCGGUAAUACGAAGGGGGCUAGCGUUGUUCGGAAUUACUGGGCGUAAAGCGCACGUAGGCGGAUUGUUAAGUUAGGGGUGAAAUCCCAGGGCUCAACCCUGGAACUGCCUUUAAUACUGGCAAUCUAGAGUCCGAGAGAGGUGAGUGGAAUUCCGAGUGUAGAGGCGAAAUUCGUAGAUAUUCGGAGGAACACCAGUGGCGAAGGCGGCUCACUGGCUCGGUACUGACGCUGAGGUGCGAAAGCGUGAGGAGCAAACAGGAUUAGAUACCCCCGUAGUCCCUGUCUCUUAUAC
rnacentral:rRNA from 1 species